rnacentral:rRNA from 1 species
UAACAGUUAGAAAUGACUGCUAAUACCGCAUAAGACCACAGCACCGCAUGGUGCAGGGGUAAAAACUCCGGUGGUAUGAGAUGGACCCGCGUCUGAUUAGGUAGUUGGUGGGGUAACGGCCUACCAAGCCGACGAUCAGUAGCCGACCUGAGAGGGUGACCGGCCACAUUGGGACUGAGACACGGCCCAAACUCCUACGGGAGGCAGCAGUGGGGAAUAUUGCACAAUGGGCGAAAGCCUGAUGCAGCGACGCCGCGUGAGCGAAGAAGUAUUUCGGUAUGUAAAGCUCUAUCAGCAGGGAAGAUAAUGACGGUACCUGACUAAGAAGCACCGGCUAAAUACGUGCCAGCAGCCGCGGUAAUACGUAUGGUGCAAGCGUUAUCCGGAUUUACUGGGUGUAAAGGGAGCGCAGGCGGUGCGGCAAGUCUGAUGUGAAAGCCCGGGGCUCAACCCCGGUACUGCAUUGGAAACUGUCGUACUAGAGUGUCGGAGGGGUAAGCGGAAUUCCUAGUGUAGCGGUGAAAUGCGUAGAUAUUAGGAGGAACACCAGUGGCGAAGGCGGCUUACUGGACGAUAACUGACGCUGAGGCUCGAAAGCGUGGGGAGCAAACAGGAUUAGAUACCCUGGUAGU